rnacentral:lncRNA from 9 species
AUAUAAUUUUUACUCUGUAAAUGCCUUGAGAUGAGCAUUAAUGGAGUUAAUGAUGAAGUCAAUGAUGCCUUUUCUUCUUUGCUUCUAGGUUUCAAAGAAUUACAAGAUAAUGUUCUCAUCCAGGAUUUGCAAACAGGGCUGUGGUUCAUGGGUUCUCUGCUCCCUUGUGCCAGAAGAUUGCUCUCUGACUAGAGACUCACCAUUGGGUCUCACAAGAACUAUGGUAUUCUGAAAAAUAUUCCACCUUUUCAUCUUGCCUGGACAUCUGACAGCUUAUGCAGGUGCUUGUGCUUUUUCACUUUUCCAUAUAUCCUUAGAAUGAAUAUUAUAUUUUUUUGGUAAAUUGAUAGCAUCAUUUAUUGCCUCAACCAGGACAUCUUUGAAAGUGAAAUUAGACACUAUUAAUAAUUAUUCUCAAGUAUCAGGCAAAAAGUGAGACUCUCCUGGGCAAAACAAGAUGUACGCUUGCCACGCUUCUAGUUAGCCUGAGUAUCUUGCUUUAUGCAAACAUUAUAAAUAGCUGGAAAGAACAUUAUAAAUAUACUGGUACAUUUUUCUCCUUGAGGAAACAAAGAUUCUUAAUAUGUAUAGGCACACACUUUAGAGCCAAUUAAAUUUUGAAAAGUAAUCCUUGCUCUGAUUCUUUAAUAUCUAGUCACAGGUCUGGUUAGGGUUCUCCAUACAUUUCAAGAAAUCUUAUAUAAUCUUGGACCCCAGCACUUUUUCAUGAGUUUUGGUUUUAAGGAUUUAAGCAAGUCAAUUUUUCAUCUUUUUUAUACUUUAUGUUUAAUUAUGAGGAAAUUCAGAGAUGAAAAUAAAAUAUUUAUGAACAAAUUAAGCUCCGUGGAUGUUAGUAAUAAGAUAAUGAAUCAUUCAAUAUGUUAAUAAAUACACUCAAGAAAAUUAAUUUUACUAUUUUAUCAACCUGAUGACUUCCUACCAGAAAUGUGAAAAAGAGAGAGUAGAAAUUAUACCAUGCUAAAGUAAAGGCAUAAUUCAAUCCAAACAUCUUUCUAUUUGUGUUCAGAUGGCCCAGUAUAAUAUGGAAACUUCCUCGGCUUAGGGCAGAAUGAGCCAGCAGAGAGUGGAUUCCAUUUUCCCAGUGCCUCAGUUUAUAUGCUAGGUACAGGGAGGCAUGUUCAUUUUUCAGAAACUCUAGAAGCUGAGAUCGUUAUCUAUGGACUUAUAACUUAGUAGAAAUAGUCCUAAAGUUGCUAAAUGCAUGAUUUAUAUGGGAUUAGUCCAAAUUUUAGUGUUUUAUCCUAUGCCAUUCGAUUAUAGUGGGUUCCAUAUCUGAUUCUAGUAUUAGCAAAUCUGUGGCAUGAUGAAUAUAUCCGUAUUCCUGGUUUGGGUGAAUAAAUGUCCCAGUUUUUCUACUUGUUAUACAAAGAAAUUGCGUCUAAUGAAGCAAAAUAUUCUUUUAAGAGACUAAUUCAUAUACUAGGGAGUGAUUUGGACACUGGAAAAAAAAUGAUUGUUGAGGAAUUUAACUUUAGGUACAAGUUGCAUUAUCUGAGAUAGAGAGUUACUCUUUCAUUGUGGUUGAAAAUUAAGUACUUGGUGGUCCAACAUGGAAAAGUUUAAUUUACAUCAAUAACCCUUUAAAUUUCAUCACUUGAUAUUUCUUUGAGAUUCUUAGCCGCAUCGCAUAUGAAGUCAACAUGCAGCUACCACUAGGAGAUAGCAUUAGAAUACCGAUAUGAAAGCACAAAUCAUUUAACGGCUUGUGGAACAUUUAUUCCAGUGACUAGGUUGAAUAUAAAAUAUUAAGUCUUCAGUUAAAUUGAGGGCAAUGGAGGAAUUCCCUGGUGGCAUAGUGGCUUGAGGAUCCAGCAUUGUCACUGCAGCAGCUCAGGUCACUCUUGUGGCUCAGGCUCAAUCCCUGGCCCGGGAACUUCCACAUGCUGCAGGCAUGACCAAAAAAAAAUGAGGAUCAUGGUAAACUUUAGGUAGGUAAAAUGAUGGCAGACAUUUUCAAAGAUGUUUUCUUCUGUAAAAAUGCUCCUGUUAGACCAAAGGAUCUCAGUGUUGGCUUUUUUUGUCUACAUUUCUAAAUCACUGAUACAGAGGUUAGAGCAGCUUCUUAAAAUAUAGAAUUAAAAUCAAAUCAUUUCCUAUAUUAUUUAUUCCUGCAAAGUAUAAAUUGGUAUUUUAUUUAUGCUUCCUCCCUGGAAAUAUACUACAAAAGUAGUAUGCGCAUGUGAAUACAUUUAGAUUUCAAAAAAGG